AAGUCGAGCGAACGGACGAGAAGCUUGCUUCUCUGAUGUUAGCGGCGGACGGGUGAGUAACACGUGGAUAACCUACCUAUAAGACUGGGAUAACUUCGGGAAACCGGAGCUAAUACCGGAUAAUAUUUUGAACCGCAUGGUUCAAAAGUGAAAGACGGUCUUGCUGUCACUUAUAGAUGGAUCCGCGCUGCAUUAGCUAGUUGGUAAGGUAACGGCUUACCAAGGCAACGAUGCAUAGCCGACCUGAGAGGGUGAUCGGCCACACUGGAACUGAGACACGGCCCAGACUCCUUCUGGAGGCAGCAGUAGGGAAUCUUCGGCAAUGGGGGCAACCCUGACCGAGCAACGCCGCGUGAGUGAAGAAGGUUUUCGGAUCUUAAAGCUCUGUUGUUAGAGAAGAAUGAUGCUGGGAGUGGAUAAUCCACCAAGUGACGGUAACUAACCAGAAAGGGACGGCUAACUACGUGCCAGCAGCCGCGGUAAUACGUAGGUCCCGAGCGUUGUCCGGAUUUAUUGGGCGUAAAGCGAGCGCAGGCGGUUUUUUAAGUCUGAAGUUAAAGGCAUUGGCUCAACCAAUGUACGCUUUGGAAACUGGAGAACUUGAGUGCAGAAGGGGAGAGUGGAAUUCCAUGUGUAGCGGUGAAAUGCGUAGAUAUAUGAAGGAACACCGGUGGCGAAAGCGGCUCUCUGGUCUGUA
rnacentral:rRNA from 1 species